GAUCCUGGCUCAGGACGAACGCUGGCGGCGUGCCUAAUACAUGCAAGUAGAACGCUGAAGGAGGAGCUUGCUUUUCUGGAUGAGUUGCGAACGGGUGAGUAACGCGUAGGUAACCUGCCUGGUAGCGGGGGAUAACUAUUGGAAACGAUAGCUAAUACCGCAUAAUAGCAGUUAUUGCAUGAUAACUGUUUGAAAGGUGCAAUUGCACCACUACCAGAUGGACCUGCGUUGUAUUAG
rnacentral:rRNA from 1 species